rnacentral:tRNA from 1 species
GCCAGCGUAGCUCAGUCGGCAGAGCAGUGCUUUCGUAAAGCAAAGGUCGGAGGUUCGAUUCCUCUCGCUGGCUCCA